CUCUGUACCUUGUACCCCCUGUAUAUAGCCCCCACAUUGACUCUGUACCAGUACCCCCUGUAUAUAGCCUCCACAUUGACUCUGUACCAGUACCCCCUGUAUAUAGCCUGCACAUUGACUCUGUACCAGUACCCCCUGUAUAUAGCCUCCACAUUGACUCUGAACCAGUACCCCCUGUAUAUAGCCUCCACAUUGACUCUGUACCAGUACCCCCUGUAUAUAGCCCCCACAUUGACUCUGUACCGGUACCCCCUGUAUAUAGCCUCCACAUUGACUCUGUACCAGUACCCCCUGUAUAUAGCCCCCACAUUGACUCUGUACCAGUACCCCCUGUAUAUAGCCUCCACAUUGACUCUGUACCGGUACCCCCUGUAUAUAGCCUCCACAUUGACUCUGAACCAGUACCCCCUGUAUAUAGCCUCCACAUUGACUCUGUACCAGUACCCCCUGUAUAAAGCCUCCACAUUGACUCUGUACCGGUACCCCCUGUAUAUAGCCUCCACAUUGACUCUGUACCGGUACCCCCUGUAUAUAGCCUCCACAUUGACUCUGAACCGGUACCCCCUGUAUAUAGCCUCCACAUUGACUCUGAACCAGUACCCCCUGUAUAUAGCCUCCACAUUGACUCUGAACCAGUACCCCCUGUAUAUAGCCCCCACAUUGACUCUGUACCGGUACCCCCUGUAUAUAGCCCCCACAUUGACUCUGUACCAGUACCCCCUGUAUAUAGCCCCCACAUUGACUCUGAACCGGUACCCCCUGUAUAUAGCCUCCACAUUGACUCUGUACCGGUACCCCCUGUAUAUAGCCUCCACAUUGACUCUGUACCUUGUACCCCCUGUAUAUAGCCUCCACAUUGACUCUGAACCGGUACCCCCUGUAUAUAGCCUCCACAUUGACUCUGAACCGGUACCUCCUGUAUAUAGCCCCCACAUUGACUCUGUACCGGUACCCCCUGUAUAUAGCCUCCACAUUGACUCUGUACCGGUACCCCCUGUAUAUAGCCUCCACAUUGACUCUGUACCUUGUACCCCCUGUAUAUAG
rnacentral:lncRNA from 1 species